rnacentral:rRNA from 1 species
UACGACUACAUAUCAGGCAUAUCAAUAAGCGGAGGAAAAGAAACUAACAAGGAUUCCCUUAGUAACGGCGAGUGAAGCUGGGAAGAGCUCAAAUUUGAAAUCUUCUAAGGUUCUACCUUGACGAAUUGUAGUUUAAAGAAGUGUUUUCUGUUAGAUGAGUAGCAAAAGUUCCUUGGAAUGGGACAUCAUAGAGGGUGAGAAUCCCGUAUUUGGUUAUUCAUUCUAGCUUUGUGAUACACUUUCAAAGAGUCGGAUUGUUUGGGAAUGCAGUCCAAAAUGGGUGGUAAAUUUCAUCUAAAGCUAAAUAUUGGCGAGAGACCGAUAGCGAACAAGUACCGUGAGGGAAAGAUGAAAAGAACUUUGAAAAGAGAGUUAAACAGUACGUGAAAUUGUCAAAAGGGAAGCGUUUGACACCAGUGUUGUUUUUCCGAAAAUCAAUUACGAAUGGCUUGAUUUUGUGUUGUAUUGACCUUAUCAGCUUUCUUCACUUUUUUCGAGUCUUUCUUAAUGCACUUUUCGGUUAACAAGUCAACAUCAAUUUCUUUUGUUGUAAAAGAGUAUUCGGAAGGUGGCUUUCUUUUCGGAGAAAGUGUUUAUAGCCCUAUACUUCUACAAUCGGAGAGAUUGAGGUCUGCAGCGUAGAUCCUUUGAGGGUUAGAUACACUUUGUGCUAAGUUGUAGCUUUUCAUAGACAACUUGUUGACUAUGUUUAGUCAUGCGGCUUACUCGCUUAUGCUAUUUUACCUACGCUUAGGAUGUUGAGUAGCGACAUACGCAC